rnacentral:rRNA from 1 species
AUUGAACGCUGGCGGCAUGCCUUACACAUGCAAGUCGAACGGCAGCACGGGAGCUUGCUCCUGGUGGCGAGUGGCGAACGGGUGAGUAAUACAUCGGAACGUACCCAGUAGUGGGGGAUAACGCACCGAAAGGUGCGCUAAUACCGCAUACGACCUAAGGGUGAAAGCGGGGGACCGUAAGGCCUCGCGCUAUUGGAGCGGCCGAUGUCUGAUUAGCUAGUUGGCGGGGUAAAGGCCCACCAAGGCGACGAUCAGUAGCUGGUCUGAGAGGACGAUCAGCCACACUGGGACCGGAACACGGCCCAGAGUCCUACGGGAGGCAGCAGUGGGGAAUUUUGGACAAUGGGGGCAACCCUGAUCCAGCAAUGCCGCGUGUGCGAGGAAGGCCUUCGGGUUGUAAAGCACUUUUGUCAGGGAAGAAAUCUUUCAGGCUAAUACCCUUGGAAGGAUGACGGUACCUGAAGAAUAAGCACCGGCUAACUACGUGCCAGCCGCCGCGGUAA